UUAUGUAACAAAAAUAAACUAGGCAAAAGUGUAUUGUGUUUGUGUUUUCUCUUGACAAAAUCCUUCCUGGAACACUGUUUCUCCCUUUUGAAUCUGAGUACCAUCCUUUCUAGACCUGCUGAGAGGCUGCCCUCUGGGAACUUCCCUUUCCCUUCUCCCAGGUGAAUCCCUAUACCUCUCUUCUGCUUCCUCUUUUUCAGAGAGUCAUCUUGUUUUGUAGCUUCCUGAGGAAGGCUCCACGGAAAGCAUGUAUCUUAGAAAAAUGCAAUCUGAAGGCACUGCUCCACAGUCUUCCGGAUGCCAGAAGACUACUGCCAUUCUGACAACCCAUCUUCCGCAUGGACAGGCACUCCUCACUUAGACUGACAAGGAGGUCGCUAAGAGAAUUGGCUGACAAGUGAGGCGCUUAGAGGAGGAUGUUUUGUGGUGUAUUGUGGCAUUAUAGAUUAACUACAAUUGAGAAACGAAUUCCUCACCUGGUCACAGCAUCUACCAAGAAUGGUGCUGGGGGAGAGAUAGGGGAGAGUCCAUCUCCAUUACCAUGUCCCUCCUUCCCUGCCAAGGGUGCUCCAUAUCCUGCG